AUGCUGGGACAAUCAUUAAAUGAACUUAAAACAGCAGAGCCAGAUAAAGACAGACGGAAGACAGGACGUGCAGAAAGAAUGUGUAUAACCAGAGCUCUGCAUAGUUGUAUGGUUUUAGAAUUAUUAAAGAAAUUCCAUUAUGCGAAACAGAUACAUACAUUUAUGGUUGAGCAGUACUUACCAAUCGCACCAAUUGCAUCCAGACGAUCUGCAUCUUGCACGAUUGCAAACUCAAGAGUGGGCUCCGCAUUAAGCUUAUUUGAAACCUCAUUUUUGAAUCCUGCAGUUAACAUUGCGGGUGUAACUUUGUAA
rnacentral:rRNA from 1 species